AUUGAACGCUGGCGGCAGGCCUAACACAUGCAAGUAGAACGCAGUUGCGAACGGGUGAGUAACGCGUAGGUAACUGCCUCAUAGCGGGGGAUAACUAUUGGAAACGAUAGCUAAUACCGCAUUCUGUGAGAUGGACCUGCGUUGUAUUAGCUAGUUGGUGAGUUAAAGGCUCACUACGGCGCCGAUACAUAGCCGACCUGAACGGGUGUUCGGCCACACUGGGACUGAGACACGGCCCAGACUCCUACGGGAGGCAGCAGUAGGGAAUCUGCGGCAAUGGACGAAAGUCUGACCGAGCAACGCCGCGUGAGUGAAGAAGGUUUUCGGAUCGUAAAACUCUGUUGUUAGAGAAGCGGUAUCUAACCAGAAAGCCACGGCUAACUACGUGCCAGCAGCCGCGGUAAUAC
rnacentral:rRNA from 1 species